rnacentral:rRNA from 1 species
GAUGAACGCUGGCGGCGUGCCUAAUACAUGCAAGUCGAGCGAACGGACGAGAAGCUUGCUUCUCUGAUGUUAGCGGCGGACGGGUGAGUAACACGUGGAUAACCUACCUAUAAGACUGGGAUAACUUCGGGAAACCGGAGCUAAUACCGGAUGAUAUUUUGAACCGCAUGGUUCAAAAGUGAAAGACGGUCUUGCUGUCACUUAUAGAUGGAUCCGCGCUGCAUUAGCUAGUUGGUAAGGUAACGGCUUACCAAGGCAACGAUGCAUAGCCGACCUGAGAGGGUGAUCGGCCACACUGGAACUGAGACACGGUCCAGACUCCUACGGGAGGCAGCAGUAGGGAAUCUUCCGCAAUGGGCGAAAGCCUGACGGAGCAACGCCGCGUGAGUGAUGAAGGUCUUCGGAUCGUAAAACUCUGUUAUUAGUGAAGAACAUAUGUGUAAGUAACUGUGCACAUCUUGACGGUACCUAAUCAGAAAGCCACGGCUAACUACGUG